rnacentral:rRNA from 1 species
ACGCGGGGAAUCUUACCGGGUCCGGACACACUGAGGAUUGACAGACAAUUGUCUUUUUGUCAAAUUAAAAGACAAAAGAUAACAGAUCUUUCAUGAUUAUGUGAUGGGUGGUCUUAGUUCGUGGAGUGAUCUGUCUGCUUAAUUGCGUUUCAAAUAUUUUAUUAUAUACGAGUCUACAAAGGAGUGGUUCAUUAACAGACAAUCAUAUCUUUGAGCGUCUGGAAUCUACUCUAUUUGGCUCAAUUGAACGCAACGGACGUGAUCGCGAGUCCUUGUUGAACUUCAGUAUAUAUUGACUUUCCCCGUAGGAAGGGAUUGGCAAUAAUUGAAUGUUCGCUUUCUAUUAGGUUUGUAUGUAAUCUCAAAAUUACAUGUAUUUGUAAUGGCGAGUGAUCACACCUAUAGGAAAACUCGGGCGACCGCUGUAAUAUUUCUCUUUAAAACAGAGGAAGAUUGCGGCAAUAACAGGUCUGUGAUGCCCUCAGAUGUCCCGGGCCGCACACGUGCUACAUUGAUUAGCGCAGUGCGCAUACUUUCAAUAUGAUACAUUAGAUUGGAUAGCUUUUGCUUCCAUCUAAUACUAUCCGGCUUGAGAAGGCUGGGUAAUCAAUUGUAAGUGCUGGUUCCUCCUCCCGUUGAGCAUUUUAAUAAUGGCCUCUCUACAUCCCUAGUAAUAUGACUACGAUUGUAGUUGAGCCUUGCCAUUUAUGCAAGUGUCAAUUCUCGGGGACAGACAUUUGAUAAUUCUUUGUCUCG